UACGUAGGGUGCGAGCGUUUUUUUUUUUUAAUCGGAAUUACUGGGCGUAAAGCGUGCGCAGGCGGUAAUGUAAGACAGAUGUGAAAUCCCCGGGCUUAACCUGGGACCUGCAUUUGUGACUGCAUUGCUGGAGUGCGGCAGAGGGGGGAUGGAAUUCCGCGUGUAGCAGUGAAUGCGUAGAUAUGCGGAGGAACACCGAUGGCGAAGGCAAUCCCCUGG
rnacentral:rRNA from 1 species